UUUUAAAUUAAAAAACAAUUAAUAGUAGAAACUAAUUUGAAGACCAAAUCAUUACUCAAGAUUGACCUAUGAAUUUUGUUAUACCCUUGGACGCUUCAUUAUAAUUUAUACAAAACUAAAUUGGCAACAGCUAACAAACGACAAUGCUAAGAUAAAUUGAAAGUUAUUAAAUAGCUUGAAAAUUGAAUCCGACUCAUCUGCAUCGAUCCAAGCCAUUGGUUCUCUGAUUUCUCAGCCUCCGACGAAAAUCGAAGCCCAUGGUUCACGAUAUCAGGAUUUUAGUUCGACAUGUUAGUAAAGAUGCCAACAAAUGUGCAGACUGCUGGUUCUUUCUUGUGUUUCCGAGUGACUGAUCCUCCUGAUCAGCUUGUUAUUGUUGGGUAGAGAUCGUAACCGUUUCUUCUCAGUUUUCCCAAUUUUGCUCAAAAAAUCUGACAGGUCCAAGUUUCAGGUGAUACUGCUCAUUGAUUUCUCUACUCAGCAUGUUCCUGUAAGAUAGAAAAUUACCUAUCAAUAACAAUAAUAAUUAGAAACGCAAUCUCUCCAUAGUCUUAGUCAUGAAAACCUAUAUAGCUUCCUGUAAAAACCAAACAUGCUUAAUGAAAAGUCAAAAGGUGGGCGCAGCCUUACCUGAGAGAGCAUUUGUUCAACUUGGAAUCACCAUCAGUCCACAUUUCAUUAACAAGAUAAGUAAAGCCACUCCUCUAUUGAGGAAAUGCCUGUAAAGAACUUCAAAGAAAACAGUAACUUUUUUCCUAAUUCAAAUUGCUGAGGGACAUUCCAAGCCAAAACAUGAUUAUAUCAAGGCUUAUAACAAUUUCUAUAUCAUCCCUGGCCAAAAGGAAAGAAUAUGCCAUAACAGAAAAAGGACUUGGGCAUUUCAUUGUCAUAUGCUUUAGAAGGUCUAAUUCAGCUGAUUAAAAAGAACAUUAGUUUGAUGGUGAUGAAAAACCAUGAUAUCUAGUCAACUGAUAAUUACAGGAUAGAAAUAUCAAUGCGUCACAUAAUUUUCAACCCACAACUACUUAUCCAUAUCAAAUUUUCUUUAAUGUAGCAUCACAUUUUCCAAUUUACAUGGAAAGAUAAGAUCUUCCUGGAAUUAUUCCAAUGAUUAUGUAAUCUGCCAUACCAUAUAUAGAUUCCCCAAAAACUUCAGUUACAAUUGUUUCAAACUAGGGUGGAAGAUGUAAACAAUACCUGACAGGAACAAGAACCAUAGCCAUCAUUCUAAAAUCAAAGCUGUUUUAUUUCAUUGAUAAGGCAUGUGAAGAAAAAGAAAAUCAGAUUAAUGAAAAACUGGGUAAAUUUCCUAAAACAGUGACCUCCUACUUGUAUCUAAUUUUACAUUGUACUGUAUAAACAUGUAUCCCUUCAAC
rnacentral:misc_RNA from 1 species